CCGCCGGCGACCGACGCACGGGUGAGUAACACGUAUGCAACCUGGCCGUGACAGAUGGAUAACCGGGAGAAAUCCCGCCUAAUACAACAUAAUGCCGGGAGGGGACAUCCCCUGCCGGCCAAAGGGGGCGACCCCGGUCACGGAUGGGCAUGCGGCGCAUUAGGUAGUUGGUGGGGCAACGGCCCACCAAGCCGACGAUGCGUAGGGGUUCUGAGAGGAAGGUCCCCCACAUUGGAACUGAGACACGGUCCAAACUCCUACGGGAGGCAGCAG
rnacentral:rRNA from 1 species